rnacentral:rRNA from 2 species
AUUUGAAAGCUGGCGUCUUCGACGUCCGCGUUGUAAUUUGUAGAGGAUGCUUCGGCGAAGACUCCUGCCUAAGUCCCCUGGAACGGGGCGUCAUAGAGGGUGAGAAUCCCGUAUGUGGCGGGCAGUCUAAGCCAUGUGAAGCUCCUUCGACGAGUCGAGUUGUUUGGGAAUGCAGCUCUAAAUGGGAGGUAAAUUUCUUCUAAAGCUAAAUAUUGGCCAGAGACCGAUAGCGCACAAGUAGAGUGAUCGAAAGAUGAAAAGCACUUUGGAAAGAGAGUUAAAAAGUACGUGAAAUUGUUGAAAGGGAAGCGCUUGCAACCAGACUCGCUCGUAGUUGCUCAGCCGGCCUCUUGGCCGGUGUACUCUUCUACGAUCGGGCCAGCAUCAGUUCGGGCGGCAGGAUAAAGGUGUCGGGAAUGUAGCACCCUUCGGGGUGUGUUAUAGCCCGGCGCGGAAUGCUGCCAGCCUGGACUGAG